rnacentral:ncRNA from 2 species
UGAAAAUAACGACGAAGCCUUCAUAUAAAUUUGGGGAUAUGGCCCAAGAGUUUCUACCCGGACACCGUAAAUGACCGGACUAUGAGGGAAAGUGGAUUAACC